CAACAUCAUCAUCACCAUCAUCAUCAAAACCACUGCCACCCCCAGCCCAGGAGGAGAAGGAAGAAAGGUCAUUUUUGGCCACAUCCCUACAAGGAGCCACGGUUCUCCAGGAAGCGGUAUCUUCUCUGCCCACAGCCAACAUCACCAUUAAGAAACUCCUGGCCCCUGGGAGGGGCUUGUUACUACUGAUUCAGGGGUUCGUUCAACCAGCACAUAUUAAUCUCCUACUGUGUGCCAGAGGCUGAGGAUAGAGAGACAAAACUGAAACAGCCCCUGCCCUCCAGAAGCUUACAUUCUAUCAAGGGGAAACCUGUCCAUAGGAUCAUGGAGAUGGGGAAACUGAGGCCCACAGAGGUUAAGUGACUUACCCAGGAUCACAUGGUAGGUCCUUUGUCAUGAGGAAGUAUAGUCCUAAAAAGAUGGUGGAGGAUGAUUUAAGGAUUUUGUCUGGUGAAGGUGUGCUAAGGAUCCACACUGUGUGUGUGUGUCCCAUCGGGCAGAGAAUCAAGACACAGAAAUGAGCAUCUUCUUCCCCAUGAUUUUUCUGCUGACUGAUGUAUGACAUUCAAGCAAGCAGUCAAGUUCAUGUAGGCAACUCAAGGCUAAGGUAUUUUGUAGAACCAUUGUUAAUGCCUCUCCACUCUCCAAGAACCUCUUUAUGCAGAGAUGGGGCCACAUUAAGCAUUACCUUGAGAGUGGUUGGUAAAUGAAAAUUCUCCAUGGUCCUCUGGAGCUCUCUGGGAUAUGUGUCUUCUAAAGGUGCAUCUGAGGUGUUUUGGAAGUAUUUUUCUGGUUACCAUGACAAUAUCUAAGUUACCUAUCCUUCCCCCAAUCUCAGCAAAAUACAGCUUACAUGCAGGAAUGCACCACACACACAAUGCCUCCAAGUUUUUAGCAUUGCCCUGGGUUAAGCACCAGAAUUAAGCAGAAGUACAUCCAGCACACAAUCACAGACUGUCAGAGUGUUGAUGCUUGUCGAUUUUGUGACUUUCAUCUCUCUGGGCCUCAGUUUCCUCACCUGUCAAAUAAGGAAGUUGAACUACCUGGCCUCUGAGAUUCACUCCAGCCCUACCUAUGAUCCUACAACCCCUCUAGAACUCAGUUCCCUCAUCUGCAAAAUGAGGAGGUUGGACUUAUUUCUGAGGUCCCUUCUAGAUCUAAAUCUAUAAUCCCA